GAGAGGACCAAAUUAUGUCUUAGUUACCUGGCUGCUGGUGGUUGUCUCUGUUUUUUGUAGAGCACAGGUGUAACGGCUUUCAGGGUGGGGGUGGGGAACUCUCCACUGAGUAGUGUGCUGAUGUGGGAGAUCUCUGGCUUGGCCUCUUCCGGCCCUCCUCCCACUCAGCUCCCACCAAUGAUGUAUCAAUAAAACCUCUUGCUGCUGGAGAUCUGCUUACCUGGUGGCCAGGGUGGCAAGACAAGUGAAGCCUGACUAUGCCUGCAGCAUCCACUGUGGAAACUACUACAUCUUUGCCAUGCCAAACAGUUCUGCUUAAGCAUGCAGGUGAGAAGGGAAGAUACAUGUAAUCUGCAUGUCUGCCACCAUUCCUUGUUACCCUUUUUCAUAUCCCAUGAGCACAGCACUCCAGCGGACCUACCCAAAAUAUGUGGGAGUUCAGUGAAACUCAAAGAGCAUGCUUCUGGUCAGCCUAUACAGUCUCUGUCCUGGUGAGGAGCAUGAUCACCAACAGGCAAGAUCUUCUGGCCUUGAAGUUUCGCUUGAGUUAAAAGAGCUCAUCUCAGGACUUUCUGAAUUUUCAGCCCAUAUGACAUGGAAGAAGAGUUAGAAGGGGAAUCUGACUGCUUGGAUCAGGGACUGUCUGGCUGGUGGAACUUGAAUGUAUACAACACUCUUCAUUUGCAUGUUUUGACAUUUUAAAAAAUGUUUUCACUUUCCUUAUCUACUUUGACUCUAAUAACAUCCUGAAAGGUAAGUAGAAUUAUUCUCAUAAUAUGAUGAAGAACCCAGAUGUACAGUGCGCCACUCUGAGGAUCAAGUCUGACCCUGCCUUUAAAUUUGGAUUCAAAGUACUUAGAUUUUCUGGAAUCCCAUUCUACAAUCUUCUGGUCGAAAGUAUAAAACCAGGUUAGUUGUUUGUAGUUCUCAGGCAGGCUCUCAGAGAUGUUCAGAGUCACGUUGCUGCCGGAGACCACGGUCAUAUGUACCAAGUGACCUGCCAAUGAGAUUCAGAGUGAGACCUGCGCUAGAGGAGGCAGUGUUGCUGACAGGCCCAGGGUAUAGCCUGGGCUGGUGGAACAGGUGAGAAGGAAGGGAUUUCUGCUUAGGAGCAGUGAGUAUGGUUUUCACUGGAGGUCCAGGUCUCCUGCUUAGGAACUCAAGAAAAGUUGAAGCUUGAAAAGUGGGCAUGGGGGAAGGGGAUGCUGCUUAUAAUUAAUCUAGUACUGUCCCCAGAAAA
rnacentral:lncRNA from 10 species